CAAAGUGUCAUUUUUUUUUUGUUUUGUUUUUGUUUUUUGUUCAAAUGUACCAUUCUGUCUGUAUGUAUCACACACCUGCAGCACUUUGUGUUUGUAUUUGGUUUUAUUUUCUACCAGCGGCACAUUUUUACACGUCCACCCGCCCCUAACUGUCUCAGCACACACAGUACGUUGUCCUUUAGCCAUAUCUUGUCCUCGUCUACAUCGCCUUCAGGGAGGGAACACUUCAAAGACCAAAGAAAAUUGUUUGUUUGUUUAUUUGUUUGCAUGUAUGCGUGUGUGCAAGUGAGAGCAGCCAUCUAGAGAGGAAGUUGUCUCUUGCUACUACUUCAUAAGUAAGUCUCCUGCCUUCUGUGAAGGCACGUUUUUUGUUUGUUUUUGUACUGACUUUUUCUCUUUUGUACAGAUUAUCCAAAUAUUAUUUAUUUUUGUACAGUCUUUUAAAUAUAACCAUGCGGCCCAUUUUAAAAUGAUUUUUUAUUUGUUAUUGAAAUCACAGAAGGAUGUAGAAUAUAUAAAGUAUUUAUAGUGUUUUAUAUAUAUAUGGUGUUAGGUUCAUGAAUAAGUAUCACAUUGAAGUGUGCAGCUAA